UACGGAGGGUGCGAGCGUUGUCCGGAAUCACUGGGCGUAAAGGGCGCGUAGGCGGUGCGAGAAGCGUGUGGUGAAAGCCCGGGGCUCAACCCCGGGUCGGCCGUGCGAACUGUCGAGCUGGAGCACUGUAGAGGCAGGUGGAAUUCCGGGUGUAGCGGUGGAAUGCGUAGAGAUCCGGAAGAAUACCGGUGGCGAAGGCGGCCUGCUGGGCAGUGGCUGACGCUGAGGCGCGACAGCGUGGGGAGCAAACAGG
rnacentral:rRNA from 1 species